rnacentral:rRNA from 1 species
UACGUAGGGUGCAAGCGUUAAUCGGAAUUACUGGGCGUAAAGCGUGCGCAGGCGGUUUUGUAAGACUGUCGUGAAAUCCCCGGGCUUAACCUGGGAAUGGGGAUGGUGACUGCAAGGCUAGAGUUUGGCAGAGGGGGGUAGAAUUCCACGUGUAGCAGUGAAAUGCGUAGAGAUGUGGAGGAACACCGAUGGCGAAGGCAGCCCCCUGGGUCAAAACUGACGCUCAUGCACGAAAGCGUGGGGAGCAAACAGG